CGGGUGAGGAACACAUCGGAAUCUACCCUGUCGUGGGGACAACGUAGGGAAACUUACGCUAAUACCGCAUACGACCUUUGGGUGAAAGCGGGGGACCAGCAAUGGCCUCGCGCGAUUGGAUGAGCCGAUGUCCGAUUAGCUAGUUGGCGGGGUAAUGGCCCACCAAGGCGACGAUCGGUAGCUGGUCUGAGAGGACGAUCAGCCACACUGGGACUGAGACACGGCCCAG
rnacentral:rRNA from 1 species